AUUGAACGCUGGCGGCAGGCCUAACACAUGCAAGUCGAACGAGUGGCGGACGGGUGAGUAAUGUCUGGGAAACUGCCUGAUGGAGGGGGAUAACUACUGGAAACGGUAGCUAAUACCGCAUACCAGCAGCUGUGCCCAGAUGGGAUUAGCGAGUUGGAGGGGUAAAGGCUCACCAAGGCGACGAUACCUAGGUGGUCCGAGUGGAUGACCAGCCACACUGGCAGUGCGACACGGUCCAGACUCCUACGCGAGGCAGCAGUGGGGAAUAUGGCCCAAUGGGCGCAUGCCUGAUGCAGCCAUGCCGCGUGUAUGAAGAAGGCCUUCGGUUUGUGAAGUAGUCUCAGCGGUGAGGCGUUACCCGCAGAAGAAGCACCGGCUAACUCCGUGCCAGCAGCCGCGGUAAUUC
rnacentral:rRNA from 1 species